AAUGAACGCUGGCGGCAUGCCUUACACAUGCAAGUCGAACGGCAGCAUGACCUAGCUUGCUAGGUUGAUGGCGAGUGGCGAACGGGUGAGUAAUGCAUCGGAACGUGCCUUUUAGUGGGGGAUAACGUAGCGAAAGUUACGCUAAUACCGCAUAUUCUCUGAGGAGGAAAGCAGGGGAACUUCGGGCCUUGCGCUAGAAGAGCGUCCGAUGUCGGAUUAGCUAGUUGGUGAGGUAAAGGCUCACCAAGGCAACGAUCCGGAGCGGGUCUGAGAGGAUGAUCCGCCACACUGGGACUGAGACACGGCCCAGACUCCUACGGGAGGCAGCAGUGGGGAAUUUUGGACAAUGGGCGCAAGCCUGAUCCAGCCAUGCCGCGUGAGUGAAGAAGGCCUUCGGGUUGUAAAGCUCUUUCGGCUGGGAAGAAAUCGCACCCUCUAAUACAGGGUGUGGAUGACGGUACCAGCAUAAGAAGCACCGGCUAACUACGUG
rnacentral:rRNA from 1 species